UACGAAGGGGGGCUAGCGUUGCUCGGAAUCACUGGGCGUAAAGCGCACGUAGGCGGAUUGCUAAGUCAGGGGUGAAAUCCUGGAGCUCAACUCCAGAACUGCCUUUGAUACUGGCGACCUUGAGUCCGGGAGAGGUGAGUGGAACUGCGAGUGUAGAGGUGAAAUUCGUAGAUAUUCGCAGGAACACCAGUGGCGAAGGCGGCUUACUGGUCCAUAACUGACGCUGAGGUGCGAAAGCGUGGGGAGCAAACAGG
rnacentral:rRNA from 1 species